UUUCAACGAAUCAUCGUAUUAUACGUUGCAACAAGGUGAAUCGAAAGGUAUCGAAUCGUAUGAUGUAAUAUUUCAAUUAAGAAAAAGAAAAGUAUAUCCGAAUAAAGAAGAAUACAAGAAACUGAUAGUGUAAGAAAAAUAUUUACAAUUCACACUUUCAACGAAUCAUCGUAUUAUACGUUGCAACAAAGUGAAUCGAAAAGUAUCCAAUCGUAUGAUGUAAUAUUUCAAUUAAGAAAAAGAAAAGUGUAUCUGGAUAAAGAAGAACACAAGAAACUGAUAAUGUAAGAAGAAUAUUCACAGUUUACACUUUCAACGAAUCAUCGUAUUAUACGUUGCAACAAGGUGAAUCGAAAGGUAUCGAAUCGUAUGAUGUAAUAUUUCAAUUAAGAAAAAGAAAAGUGUACCCGAAUAAAGAAGAACACAAGAAACUGAUAAUAUAAGAAGAAUAUUUACAAUUCGCACUUUCAACGAAUCAUCGUAUUAUACGUUGCAACAAAGUGAAUCGAAAGUUUCUGGCAGAUGUGUUUUAGAUCGAAAAACUCAAGACACGUUACUCGAUGUUAUUAACAAACGAAGUAAAAAUAUCAAUUAAUUGAAUUGGACAACAGUAAAGACUCCAUAAUUGCUCGCAAGUAGCUGCCGCAUAAUUGCUGCUUGCUUAUCCCCACCAAUGGCAGGAUUCCUCUUUGUACCAUCGACGCGAGUAACGUGACGCGUCAACUUCUCUCGACACUAAUUUCACGGAACGCGCGUCCUUUUGACGCAUUUCGAAUUUCACGAGGAAAAUUACACAAACCGUGUACGUUCUUCUUCUACGGUUUCUAUCGAUUUCUAUCCAUUCAACGAGACGAAUAUACACGGAAAUUCAUUUUCCUCGUAGCUUUCCAGUUUCCAAGUUCUCUACCUGGUGUACUUAUCUCUACGGAUACGCCCCAAUCUGACGCAAUCGUAAAAAAUAUGAACACGAUAAAUGAGCCAGCUGUUGACAAAAGUGAACAUGAAGAAUACAGCGACCAUAUUUGGGAGAAAAUUUCUCAAAUCUCGAGUGGAUGAAAUGCUGUUUCGUGUGUUACGUAUUCACCUUGGAAAACCUUAGGCAGAACAGGGCAAUAAGCCUCAGAAGAAGAAACGAAACUCGGUAUAUGAGACGCGUAGUUGCAAAAAUCGCGCAACCAAUUGCAGUCGCAGUGUGAAGACUCGUUCGAAGCUACUGGUGUAUUUUCAAUGUCAGUAAAAUGAUCGAAAAGUCGCGAAUCAUUGUGAAUUUAUUAUUUCGAAAUUCAACCUGUCGCUUCAAAUUUUCACAAACUCCGAAUAUGUCUAUUGGCUUGGCAACUAAGUGAUUGCGGAUUUUGUCAUUAGGCGGUAGUGACAAAAUCCGCAAUCACUUAGUUGCCAACCCAAUAGAAGAGGAGACAACAUCUCGCAAAAGAUGGUCAGUUUACGCGAGCACUGUUCUGACACGCCAGCUGUGAAGAGGAUGAAGACGAAGUAUCUCGGAACGAGGCUGAAUUUCAGAUUUUCGAAUCAGAGGAAAGCGACAAAACAGAGGAAUCUUCAUACAAAAGCGAAGGAGAGGAUUCCCGGGAUUUUCGUCUCCGAAUCACGCGAACAUUGCCAGAUCCUGCGAAAUUUGAACGUGGUUCGUGAUACUGAAACUGCGGUCGAUGGACCAACUUGGAAGAAAUUGGAAACAGGCGGAUCUAGUGGUAGACCACUUAUCAAAAUAUUCAAGGACAUCGCUGGUUCUACCGGAUACGCAACAAGGAAUGUGGCGACAGAUAGCGUCGCUAUCAGUUCUACUUGAUAAUCGACAAAAACACAUGUUGCAACAUAAAAAAUGUUACACAGAAGCAGAGACAGGUGGUGUCUUAAUUGAUUGGACAAUUUCAAUGGCUAAGUUAGUUGCUUUUACUGCGAUUUUGUAAGCUCGAGUAGCAUACGAAGCAAAGUCACUGAAAGCUCUUCAUUUAGGGCGCAGGAAAUGGCCAGUUGCUUUCUUAUCGAACACAAUGCCGAGAGAUGAAUUGAUGCAAAUUCUUCGAUUUGAUAAAAGUUUGAUAAAAGAAGAGAACGAUCGGAAGGUUUACGUACAGACAAAAUUCAGCACAAGAUGCGCGGAAUAAAUGUGAUGAUAUAUAAUGUUGAACAUUAUAAAUCUCAUGGUUUCAUUUAUAAAUUAACAGCGUAUAAUUAUAUCGUUUUCUUUUUUUAAAGAAAAUUUAUGAUUUUGUUCAUGCGUCAAAUCGACACGUAGAGAUAGGAACAUAUAGGAAACGUGAGUAAACCUAGCUUUGAACAUCUGUUUCGUCUUCGUUUCAGCGAGACGACACUAGCGCCACGACGAAGCUUCUCCGUUUUAAAUUUCUCGCCAAUCGCAUUGUGUUACGUUGGAAUUUCUCUUUUACGUGAAAAAGCAAUUACCGACUUCCAUCUCGGGAGGUUCCGUCUCGAGAUAAAGAAAAUUACUUUUCUAUUACAUCGGCUUCUCUUAUACUUGAAAAGGCAAUCAUUGACUAUCUCAAAAUAAAAAAAAAAUAAAUAAAAAAGAGAUAAUUGAUAAUAUAUAACAAAAUAUAAAACAAAAAUUUACUCGAGUCCUAUCCCAUCAAUCAGAUAGCCGGAUACUCGCAAUCAGAAAAAUACCUGAUGCAACCUGCUUGAACACUCUACUCGUGUCAUCCGAUGUUUACAACAUUUCGAAUAAUUUCUAUUUCUGAGUCAAUCGAAUAUCUAAAUUAAAUAUCUUCAUUUUUGUACCGAAAUACCAACAAGUUAACGUUCUCAGCAGGUAUACUGGCUGGCUUCAACAUUUCCACACAUUUCCAGCUGUUCAAAACACAUUAGCAAAGUUGCUAAGAUGUACUUGUGUAUACAAGUUGCAAGCUCUCAACGUGUAGUUCCAACAGCUGACAAUAUCGUCAACGUAUAGCCUAACAGCAUACUACUCGAGAAUGUUGAUUCGUUGGCAUUUCCGUACAGAACUGAAAAUGUCUACUUUAAAAUGAUCGUUUCAUCGUCUACCAAAAACACAUAGAUAGAAACAUUGUGAACGCCUGUGACACGAGUAGGGUACUCGAGUGAAACAUAGCAAGCAUCCGAGUAGCGAUAGCUCUACUCUCAGCUAUCUCAUCUCUGUGGACAAGAACAGUGAUAAAACACGUGGCUAAAUUUGAAUCACUGCAAUCAACCGCGUUGAGAACAGUUGCGAAUACAGCGCGGUGUAUCAGCAGCGAAAGUCUAAGGAAACAGCCAAUUAGGCUACCAACGAUCCAAGAGGAAAUUAAGAGAAAUGGAACGAAGCGUGAGAAAAGAGUCGCAAAGCGUCCUAAUCAACUAGCCCUGCAGGCCUACAAAGCCAAAAUUAAACGAAGAUUGAAAGACAAGCAUCCUGCUGACCUGCUAAUCUCAUGAGAUGAUACAAGAUGACAUGUUCGUUUCCCUACUGGGAAUAGUCAUCCAGGUGAUAAUUUAUAAAGAAUAUGGAAGAAUUUACCGAAUGUCCAAUAGGACAAACUGUAGAGAGAAAUAACUAAGUUUAGAAAGAGAACUAUGUCAUGUGCUUGGUGGUGAUGUUUCUCACCCAGGCAUCUCAUAAGUAGACUGCUGGUUCUUACACAAUUAUAGUUCAAUUGAAAAAAAUAUGCGAGAUACCCAAAGUAUAGUGUCAUAAUAUUUAACAAUUGAAAUAAGUGUUCCUUUAAUUGUAGGAACAAGAAAUAUGAAUUUGCAUAAAUCCGCAGUCUGCUCACAAAUAACAACUCUACUUGAAAGUUAUUGAAAUCCUACACAUUUUUCUGCUUGUCAUUCGCUGAAAUGAACACCAUACAGCUACGAAUAAGUCGAGUUGAUCUUUCCUUCUUUUCUUUUCUUUUUGCCAAUUCUCAGCUUUUAUGGAGACUUUACUGUAUCACCUAACAGACCAGUGCUCGUAGAAAACAUUGCAAGUGCCAGAAGCAACAGAUUCUCGGGGGCAGAAGAGAACUUAUAGUAUUAAUAUAGUGCAAAUUCAUGAAAGAGAAGUGUAUCUUCUAAGAAACUCAAUGUUCCAUUCAAUUGGAUGAAGACAGAUGGUAUAUGUAUCUUAUGGUAUAUGAUGGUAAGUGUAUCUCCUAGGAAACUCAAUGUUCCACUUAAUCCGAUGAAGACAGAUGGUAUAUGUAUCUUAUGGUAUAUGAUGGUAAGUGUAUCUUCUAGGAAACUCAAUGUUCCAUUCAAUCGGAUGAAGACAGAUGGUAUAUGUAUCUGAUGGUAUAUGAUGGUAAGUGUAUCUUCUAGGAAACUCAAUGUUCCAUUUAAUCCGAUGAAGACAGAUGGUAUAUGUAUCUUAUGGUAUAUGAUGGUAAGUGUAUCUUCUAGGAAACUCAAUGUUCCAUUCAAUCGGAUGAAGACAGAUGGUAUAUGUAUCUUAUGGUAUAUGAUGGUAAGUGUAUCUUCUAGGAUACUCAAUGUUCCAUUCAAUCGGAUGAAGACAGAUAGUAUAUGUAUCUGAUGGUAUAUGAUGGUAAGUGUAUCUUCUAGGAAACUCAAUGUUCCAUUCAAUUGGAUGAAGACAGAUGGUAUAACAAAAGCUAGGAAACAAUUAUCUGCUGUUCAUUAGCAUUCAUAUGUUUUUGUAUAGAGAUGAGGUUGUCACAUGACCUUUGAGCAUUAUUAAUAACAAUUUAGAAAGAGACAUUACACUUGGAUUCUACGCUACAGCAUUCUCAUUGGUAGGUAGAACAUUUCUCAGUAAAAGAAUUCCAAGUGUUUUCCAUUCUGACACUCGCAGUGUUUUCUACAAACAAUAUUCAAUUAAUGGAAUGUAUCUAAAAUUCAUAGCUAAGCAAUACUUAGUCAUUUAGUUAUUUUCUGGAAAUUGAAACAGUUUCUCCUUUGAGGCUAUAAGAAAGAUUGCUAUAAGAAAAUAAAUGAGAACUCUGUUGAUUAAAUGUUUAUAGCGAGCUAUGAUCUAACAGAUCAUUAGAUUAGAUCGUAUGACGAUCAAAAGAUACAUGUAAUAGUUAAGAAGAUGCAAGAAACGAAUGAACAAAAUAUUGAAGAAGAAUCAAAGUAGUAUAGUGUUAGUGGAGGAACCGUAGACCGAGGCUUGCAACAGGCUGUCUGUACAACAAUCUUAAUAACAUGAUAUGCAACAUUUAUAUUCUAAUCUUAGAGUCAGUAAAAACUAUGCGCUGGGCACGAAGCUCUCUGUUCCACGCGUUAAAAAACGAAUAGAAAAACCUUCGGAAAAAGUGCGUAACAAUAAGGAAAUGAAAACCGUCCACGUGCGAGACGAAAAUAUCGGAAUUAGUUUGUUUUCCUAUCUCUUUCGUGGUUAAUGAGUCUGGCGUUUUUAAAAAAUUUGAUUCGUCGCAGUCGUUGCGACCCCGGCACUAUUGUAAAACGGUAUGUAAAUAUACUUAUUAUAAUAAUAUAUAGCUGCAUCUGUGAUUUGAUUGUAAAUCGUGAGGUAAGGAGCCUGUGUGAAUGGCGCGAUCAACUCGAGAAACGUUUCCACUUUCCUCGAACUUGGAGUCUACAGUAAAACUUCCAACAAUCUUAUAAUUACACACGCAACAUGUAAGAAGCUAAGAAGAUUUAAAAACAAAAGAAAAGAAAAUCUCGAUAUUUGAAAUUUCGCUAUUUAAAUUCAAUAAUUAAAUAUUUCAAUGUUUAAAUCAAUGAAAUAAGAAAUAAAAGGAAAGAAUAAAAUUGAAAUGACGAUCUGGUUAAUAGAAAAGAAAGAAGACCAAAAAUUUUGGAAAUGACCACUUAGGUAAUAAUAAUUUGAAUAACUAUGAAAUUGAUGGAAAUUUUAGACUCUAACGUAAAGUAUAUAGUGAAACAUUUGUCGAGAACAUGGCGCUCACGGAACUAUUGUCAUCUGUAAAAUAUAAUAUAAAAGAUCCUGAGUUGUACUGUGUGGUACUAUGGCUAUGGAGUUCGGCGGUGACUGAGAUGGCUUUAUCUUUCCUCUUUUCUCUUGAAAUAAUACAUACAGAAUAUUGUACAAGUUCUAGGAAAACUAAAUAUCCUGCAAUGCCAAAAUAAAAUAUAAAAUACUUCACCUUCUAUGUAUCAUAAUAUCUACAUACUUUAAGAUACUGACAAACAAAUUUAACACAUGUAUAAGAAUUAGUGUCACUUAAUAAAGUAGGCAGGCUCAUUAAUUAUACAUGUCACUUAUGUUAACCAGUAACUUAACGUGUUAAUAAUCAGUUUGCAUAGAAGUAUUUUCAAUAAAUCACCUACUAGAUAUCUACUAAACGCAUUUACUAAGAUAAUAAAAUAUUUAUAAAUUGUUAUCACUAUAAAGUUUUAUCAUAUAAUGAAGCAUUAAUAAAGAAAGAAAAAAAUUCAACUUGGUCUAAAAAGAUUGAUUAAAAAUUGUAAAAUAUAUGAUUAACGUUAUUAAAUAAUAAAUUGCUGGUCGAUAAAGCAAUACAUUUUAUAAAAUAAUACUCUAUAAAUCACUUGGGACAAACUAUUCCGUUAUUUCUAAAUUAGUAAUAUAUGUUUUCUAAGGAUAUAGUUCAUUUGUAAUAUCAAUACGUUAAAGUUUCAAACGUAUCAUUGUUUAACAGAGACAAAAUGAGAAUAAUAGAAAUAAUAAUACUGUUUACGAGAAAUUCACUUGAUGGGGAAAGCAAUAUUUCAAAAAUCAAUACCAUUAAAAAUAAUUGGUUAAUGUAGUAAACGACAGCAGUGAAAGUAAAAUACAGAAAUGCUAUGUUUUAUGGUGAUGUUAAAAAGUAAUUUCAAAGAAUUAAAAGAAAUUCCAAAGAAGUUGGAUUAUACGUAAUUUGCUAAAACUAUGGAGAAAAGUAUUAAAUUCAGCUCUGUAAUAUCACAUUAGAGCGUAUAAAAAAAUUCACAAGAAAAGCCAUCUCGGGCACAGGCCUCUUAUAAUAUAUUAAAUUCAAUCUGCUGCAUCACGGUGGUUUCCCAUCGAUAACUGUCAAUAAUAAAUCCUCUGUAAAUCUGCUUGAGCUGUAAAAUCGGUUGGCUGUCUAUUGCACCGUUAAACUGCUAUGCGGUGAAAAAUAUAUUAUAAUAUGUUCGUACGUCAUCCUGGGAGUUUCUGUGCGUGUCACCCAGUCGUGUGACGCAAUCGAUAAAGUAAAUAUAAUCCUCUGUAAGAA